rnacentral:rRNA from 1 species
AUUGAACGCUGGCGGCAGGCCUAACACAUGCAAGUCGAGCGGAUGAAGGGAGCUUGCUCCUGGAUUCAGCGGCGGACGGGUGAGUAAUGCCUAGGAAUCUGCCUGGUAGUGGGGGAUAACGUCCGGAAACGGGCGCUAAUACCGCAUACGUCCUGAGGGAGAAAGUGGGGGAUCUUCGGACCUCACGCUAUCAGAUGAGCCUAGGUCGGAUUAGCUAGUUGGUGGGGUAAAGGCCUACCAAGGCGACGAUCCGUAACUGGUCUGAGAGGAUGAUCAGUCACACUGGAACUGAGACACGGUCCAGGCUCCUACGAGAGGCAGCAGUGGGGAAUAUUGGACAAAGGGCGAAAGCCUGAUCCAGCCAUGCCGCGUGUGUGAAGAAGGUCUUCGGAUUGUAAAGCACUUUAAGUUGGGAGGAAGGGCAGUAAGUUAAUACCUUGCUGUUUUGACGUUACCAACAGAAUAAGCACCGGCUAACUUCGUG